rnacentral:rRNA from 1 species
CCUACGGGGGGCGGCAGUGAGGAAUAUUGCGCAAUGGGGGCAACCCUGACGCAGCAACGCCGCGUGAGUGAGGAAGGUUUUCGGAUUGUAAAGCUCUGUCGAGCGGAAAGAGAUGCACGAUGGCUAAUAUCCAUCAUGCUUGACGGUACCGCUAGAGGAAGCACCGGCUAACUCCGUGCCAGCAGCCCCGGUC